UACGUAGGGUGCGAGCGUUGUCCGGAAUUACUGGGCGUAAAGAGCUCGUAGGUGGUUUGUCGCGUUGUUCGUGAAAACCUGAGGCUUAACCUUGGGCGUGCGGGCGAUACGGGCAGACUGGAGUACUGCAGGGGAGACUGGAAUUCCUGGUGUAGCGGUGGAAUGCGCAGAUAUCAGGAGGAACACCCGUGGCGAAAGCGGCUCUCUGGGACGGUACUGACGCUGAGACGCGAAAGCGUGGGGAGCAAACAGG
rnacentral:rRNA from 1 species